rnacentral:rRNA from 1 species
UUAAGAAUCUUGCACAAUGGGCGAAAGCCCGAUGCAGCGACGCCGCGUGAGCGAUGAAGGCCUUCGGGUUGUAAAGCUCUUUAUUCGAGGGAAGAAAUAGAGAGGAAAAAUACGCCUCUUAAAUGACGGUACCUCGGGAAUAAGCCCCGGCUAAAUACGUGCCAGCAGCCGCGGUAAGACGUAUGGGGCGAGCGUUGUCCGGAAUCAUUGGGCGUAAAGCGCGCGUAGGCGGUUUGGUAAGUCGGAUGUGAAAGCUUCGGGCUCAACCCGGAAAUUGCGUCCGAAACUGCCUCACUAGAGAGCAGGAGAGGAUAGUGGAAUUCCCGGUGUAGCGGUGAAAUGCGUAGAUAUCGGGAGGAACAUCAGUGGCGAAGGCGGCUAUCUGGCCUGUUUCUGACGCUGAGGUGCGAAAGCCAGGGGAGCGAACGGGAUUAGAUACCCCGGUAGUCCUGGCCCUAAACGAUGGGCACUAGGUGCGGGGGGAUCGACCCCCUCCGUGCCGCAGCUAACGCAUUAAGUGCCCCGCCUGGGGACUACGGCCGCAAGGUUA